UAGAACCUGUGUUGCCUGCUUUAAG
rnacentral:piRNA from 1 species